CAGACGAAACAGGGGUGCUUUGCUGCCUGUCGGCGUCCGGUGAACGAUGCAUCGGGAUGCGCGGCGGCAAGGCUGAGAGAAGACCCUUCGCACCCGAUCCGGAUAAUACCGGCGCGGGAAGUUUUCGAUUCCACCGG
rnacentral:ncRNA from 2 species